CACGUAGGGUGCGAGCGUUGUCCGGAAUUAUUGGGCGUAAAGAGCUCGUAGGCGGUGUGUCGCGUCGGCCGUGAAAACCUGCAGCUUAACUGUGGGCUUGCGGUCGAUACGGGCAUCACUGGAGUUCGGCAGGGGAGACUGGAAUUCCUGGUGUAGCGGUGAAAUGCGCGGAUAUCAGGAGGAACACCGGUGGCGAAGGCGGGUCUCUGGGCCGAUACUGACGCUGAGGCGCGAAAGCUAGGGGAGCAAACAGG
rnacentral:rRNA from 1 species